AAUUGUCAUCGACUGGAAAACACACACUCUCUUACACUUUUGUUCAUCUUCUUCCUUCUUCUCUCUAUUCUGAUUCUAAUUCUCUUUAGUUCUCUCUCUCUUUCUCUCAGUCCGUCGUUGAUGUUGGGUCUAGGGUUCAUCAAUUCUCUUUUCAUCAUCGUUUUUAUGAGGUUUUGCGCGUCACGGGUAUAUGAUCCAUCUCUCUGGUUCAAGCUAGGACGACGGUUCUCCUGAUAUCCUUGUAUCUUAUUCUUAAACCAGUGAGCUACUCUACUCUGUAACAAGAAUUUCAACGGGACUUGUGAUUAGGACAUGGCACGAAGACGCACACAACACAAUAGAGUCUCGUCUCGUUGUACGGUUACUCUACUGCUACUUGACGUUCCUCAGCCCUCAGGUGCAUCCCUAUGUAGCUAGCUACUGGGAACAAGAAUUUCAAAGUUUGGUAUCAAGAACCAGAAGCUAUCAUGGUUUCUGGAUGAGGGAGGUCAAAGCACAUCCCCAAGUGUUGAAGCUCUUUGGAACUCAUUGCCAUCAUCAUUACAGAGGUAUUUUUUGUUUAUUCCAGGUGGACAUACUCAGAGAUGAUGCAGUCUUAUGGUGUAUCUACUUGAACAACUUCGGCCUCAAGGCGUUGAGGUUACAGUGGUGUAUCUACGUAGCAGCAGAAUCGUUCAAGGUGUUCUCAGUUGCCAAAUCUGGAUUGAGGAUUGUUGGAUAGCACAUUACAUAAAGACGUUUUAGUUUCGUCUCUUUCGGUGAAAAGCGUGCAGGAGUGAGAUUAUGAUGGAAUCUCUUUUUGCUCUCUCACCAACAACAAAAAUUGUGGAAGCGUCAGGAAUUGCUGGAUUUGCAGGUAAACUGUUCAAAUGUUGAUCCUCAGGUGCAUCUGUAUGUAGCUAGCUAUUGGGAACAAGAACUCAAAGUUUGGUAUCAAGAACUAAAAUCUAUCAUGGUUUCUGGAUGAGGGAGGUCAAGGCACAUCCCAAAGUGUUGAAGCUUGUUCGAACUGAUUGCCAUCACCAUUACAAAGGUAACUUUAGUUGUAGUUAUUUAAGUUGCGUUUUGAUAUACCCUGAUUGGAUUGCUCUUUGUUCAUGUUUGGUGCAUUUAAAUGAUCAUCUUCGGCCUCAAGGCGUUGAGGUGACAGUGGUAAGAGGAGUUUCUGAUAUCAAAACUGUCAAUUAGCAAAUAUUUCAAUUAGCAAGUUUUGUGCGUCACUCCAGGUAUAUGAUUCAUCUCUCUGGUUCCAAGCAAGGACGACGAUUCUUCUGAUAUACCCGUAUCCUUGUCUUUUCUUAUUGUUUUCUUUGAGAUUUGAUUCUGUUUCGUUGGGAAUUCGUAUCAGACAUCUUGGAUUAAAUUUCUCCUUCGGCUCUGUUUAUGCAGGUUAUUUGUUCAAAUUCAUCCCUAUGGAUUGUGGCAGCUUCAAGAAUUAAUUGUAAGUGGUAAGAAUUGCUACUUGAAGAUCCACAGGUAUGAUUAAAUUUUUAAAUCAUGUUUUCAUAUAUAUAACAUAAUUGUUAAACACAGCUUGGUUAUGAGUGAGCUUUUCUUUAAUUGUAAGUGACAAAUUGAGUGGUGUUUGUAACCUUUUGAUAUGAGUUCUGUCUAACUGCAGUUACUUGAGACAGUUUGGUGUCUCACAAACAUUGCUGCUGCAAAAACCUGAAGAAACAAAAGCUAUAUUACUGGAACGGCCAUUGCUUAUUGCUCACCUUGGAGGUUUGUACUGGCUAAUCAAGUUUGACUUGAAAUAUCAUGGAAGCUCCAGGAUUCGGUGGUAAGCAGGUCAAUGCAGAUCCUCAGGUAUGGUUAAAUUUUCAAUAUUUAAGCACCAUAUAUUUACGUUUUUUAUAUACGUCAUAAUUUCUUCAGUAUAAAUAGCUUGGCUAUGAGUGAACUUCUUGUGUUUGGUUAUCUACGCCAUCAUUUCUUCAGUAUAACUUGGUUAUGAGUGAACUUCUUCUGUUUGGUUAUCUUAAUUUAGUUAGUAGGAAUAAGAACUCAUAGCAACAAGGGAUUAGGUGAAGGAACAUCCCAAAGUCUUAUUGCCGUAUAAGCUCUCCCAUUACAAAUGUAGCUCUGGUUAUAGUUGCUUUAAGUUGUGUGUUAGAUAUACCCAGAUGAAUAAGGAUUGCUCUUUGUUCAUGACACAUUUGUCUCUCAGUCUCAGUCAUGGAUGCAUGACAUAUUCUAUUUUUAUAUCAUCUUUCAUGUGUUUUUUAUUGAUUAAGAAUUUAAGAUAGAUGGAAGAGUGGAAGCUGAACCGUGAUAAAAUUUCGUUUCAUCGUUUUUUUCUGGUUUGGAUGAUUACGAAUUUUCGUAAAUCACAUUAUCUUUGUACAUCGGUCAUAUCGUGAACUCAAAUCCAUGGGAUAGGAAACGAAGGAUUGUUAUUAAAAAAAAUGAUUUUGCUUUAAUCAAGUAGGUAAAGUACUACUCCCACUUGUUGUGUGGUGGGGUUGUCGACCUUGUGGUGGUGCGCUCACGUGAGUUAUCCCACUUGCCGAAACUUGUGUAAUAAAAUUCGGUCGCUUCCAAAAAAAAAUAAAGUAAUACACUAUUUUCUUCUGGUGCA